rnacentral:rRNA from 1 species
AUGAUAUGUAAGGGAGACCUUAAUGAUAUCAUGUAUGAUGUAGAUAAAUGUAACGUCAACGUAAAUUAUUACCAUAUAGCUGCUUUCCACACGUUGGUGAAGAAUCGUGGUCUCUUUGACAUCAGUUACAGUAGUCCGGCUUGUACUUGGCGCAGUAGACAACAUACUCUUAAUCCUAUUUACAAAAGUUUAGACCGUUAUCUUAUUAAUUCUGAUUGGUGUUUUGUCUGCCCUAACACGAAAGUGCUUAAUUUUCCCAUUAUUUUGAGUGGCCAUGCUCCUAUUUUAAUCUCUACUGAUGGGCAGGCCAAAGCAAUCGUUUAA